rnacentral:rRNA from 1 species
AGUGAACGCUGGCGGUAGGCCUAACACAUGCAAGUCGAACGGCAGCACAGUAAGAGCUUGCUCUUACGGGUGGCGAGUGGCGGACGGGUGAGGAAUACAUCGGAAUCUACUUUUUCGUGGGGGAUAACGUAGGGAAACUUACGCUAAUACCGCAUACGACCUACGGGUGAAAGCAGGGGAUCUUCGGACCUUGCGCGAUUGAAUGAGCCGAUGUCGGAUUAGCUAGUUGGCGGGGUAAAGGCCCACCAAGGCGACGAUCCGUAGCUGGUCUGAGAGGAUGAUCCGCCACACUGGAACUGAGACACGGUCCAGACUCCUACGGGAGGCAGCAGUUGGGAAUAUUGGACAAUGGGCGCAAGCCUGAUCCAGCCAUACCGCGUGGGUGAAGAAGGCCUUCGGGUUGUAAAGCCCUUUUGUUGGGAAAGAAAAGCAGCAGGUUAAUACCCCGCUGUUCUGACGGUACCCAAAGAAUAAGCACCGGCUAACUUCGUG